rnacentral:lncRNA from 1 species
GCACACAAAACAGCUCCUAAAUGCUUCUUGGGAGUAUGAAACGUCAACCUUGGUUAAUUAAGCAACAGACAUGCUUUGGCCGAACGGUCACUUGGAAAUUCCCCAAACAACAGCUCUUUGCUGUACCCGAAGCAAUACCAGCUUUAAUGCUGUUCAAUAACGUCCCCCCUUGCAUGCUUUCAUUAAUGCCGUCCAUGCAUGGUGAAUAUCUCAUUUAAUUCAUGUUUUGCUUCCCUUUAAAUGCCGUUCCAUACAUGGGAACAUCUCAUUUAAUUCAUGUCUUUGCUGCACAUUAAAUCAGCAAGCAGCUUCUUUAAUUUCAUCCAUUAAAUGGCCACAUGAAAAGCACAAACAACUCCUUUAAUGCCGUUCCUUGCAUGUAGAACAGCAUCUUUAAUGCAUGUCUUGCUGUACAUUAAAUUCG